AUGGCCGCUCCUUGCGAGUGGAGCAGGAACUCCCUUGACUGCAGGAACCACAAAACAGGUUGUGUCAGUGAUGAGGAAGGCUCAAGCAGCAAGAUUUAUGAUGGAUGUGUUGCUACUGCAGUGCAGACUAUUGCAUACCAAAGCAGAAUGACUCAAUCAAUUAGGCAGGCAGCGAUUCAAUCAAAAUCAGCUCUCCUAUCAAUGUGGAUCAUCUGGAUGGAAGAAUCAUCAGGGCGGACAGACUUGCGCGACUCCACUGAGGGUAUCCGGUUCUCCUCAUGCACGUUGGUGCACAUCGACCACACAAAGGGGCCCAUCCCUUGGAUCAAGUAG
rnacentral:rRNA from 1 species